rnacentral:rRNA from 1 species
AUACGGAGGAUCCGAGCGUUAUCCGGAUUUAUUGGGUUUAAAGGGUGCGCAGGCGGCCAUUUAAGUCAGCGGUUAAAUCGUGGGGCUCAACCCCAUUCUGCCGUUGAUACUGGGUGGCUUGAUUGCGGUCGAGGUUGGCGGAAUUCGUUGUGUAGCGGUGAAAUGCAUAGAUAUGACGAAGAACACCGAUUGCGUAGGCAGCUGACCAGACCGCAAAUGACGCUCAUGCACGAAAGUGCGGGGAUCGAACAGGAUUAGAUACCCUGGUAGUCCGCACAGUAAACGGUGAAUACUUGUUUUCGGCGAUAUAAUGUCGGAGGCAAAGCGAAAGCGAUAAGUAUUCCACCUGGGGAGUACGCCGGCAACGGUGAAACUCAAAUGAAUUGGCGGGG